AUUGAACGCUGGCGGCAGGCCUAACACAUGCAAGUCGAGCGAGCGGCGGACGGGUGAGUAAUACCUAGGAAUCUGCCUGGUAGUGGGGGAUAACGACAGGAAACGGUAGCUAAUACCGCAUACUAUCGGCUGUGACUAGGUGGGAUUAACUAGUAGGUGGGGGAAAGGCUCACCUAGGCGACGCUCCAUAUCUGGUCUGAGAGGAUGAACAGCCACACUGGAACUGGUACACGGUCCAGACUCGUACGGGAGGCAGCAGUGGGGAAUAUUGCACAAUGGGCGCAAGCCUGAUGCAGCCAUGCCGCGUGUAUGAAGAAGGCCUUCGGGGUGUAAAGUACUUUCAGCGGGGAGGCGUUACCCGCAGAAGAAGCACCGGCUAACUCCGUGCCAGCAGCCGCGGUAAUAC
rnacentral:rRNA from 1 species